rnacentral:rRNA from 1 species
UACAGAGGUCUCAAGCGUUGUUCGGAUUCAUUGGGCGUAAAGGGCGCGUAGGCGGCGGGGUAAGUCGGGUGUGAAAUCUCAGAGCUCAACUCUGAAACUGCACUCGAUACUACUCUGCUUGAGGACUAGAGAGGAGACUGGAAUUCACGGUGUAGCGGUGAAAUGCGCAGAUAUCAGGAGGAACACCGAUGGCGAAGGCAGUGUUCUGGGCCAGUACUGACGCUGAGGAGCGAAAGCGUGGGGAGCAAACAGG